UACGUAGGGACCAAGCGUUGUUCGGAUUUACUGGGCGUAAAGGGCGCGUAGGCGGCGCAACAAGUCACUUGUGAAAUCUCCGGGCUUAACCCGGAGCGGUCAAGUGAUACUGUCGUGCUAGAGUGCGGAAGGGGCUACUGGAAUUCUCGGUGUAGCGGUGAAAUGCGUAGAUAUCGGAAGGAACAUCAGUGGCGAAAGCGGCUUCCUGGACCAGUACCGACGGUCAGGCACGAAAGCGUGGGGAGCAAACAGG
rnacentral:rRNA from 1 species